rnacentral:misc_RNA from 1 species
UUUCCGUAGGUGAGCCUGCGGAAGGAUCAUUCAUAAUAAAGUGUUUUAUGGCACUUUUUAAAAAUCCAUAUCCACCUCGUGUGCAAUGUUAGAUCUCGUCAAUCUUGGCGAGAUUUUUAUACAUCAACUCAUUCUUUAACUAAUUUGUCUGAAAAAUAUUAUGAAUACUUAAUUCAAAAUACAACUUUCAACAACGGAUCUCUUGGCUCUC